rnacentral:lncRNA from 1 species
CUACGCACGAGCAGCGGGCAAUCAUCCGUUAACCAAGUAAAAAAUGCCCAAAUAAGGUAACAAAUAAAAGUUAUUUCAUCCAUAUACUCCACAAGGUAACCAUUCCAAACAUUCCAUUUAAAUUAGUUUAAUUGGUUAAUUAAUGAAUUUAUUUCCUAAUUAAUCCUUUAAAUCACCAAUUAAAUGACCCAUUAUGCCAAUUAAUCCCCCAUUACAUAACCCAUUACCCAAAAAUCCCAAAUGGCCGGCCACCCUUGUUGAUCUCAUCAUAUUCACCUAUUUUAUCACAUUAAUUAGCUAGUUAAUUUGGCAAUAAUUUUAUUUGCUAAAUUAAUUAGUCAAUUAUUCCCAUAACUCCUAAAUUCAACCUAAAUCAAGAACCCUAUCCCUAUAAAUAGGCUCUCAUUCUCACCAAAAACAAAUUCUCCAAAGCUCUCAAACACUUUUCUCCCAAAAUUCUAACUUUGGCAUCGGAGGUUCUUCGGCCAAAGCCCCCCAUUCAUUGUGGGCGCGUGAGGCACUUGGCCUUGACCUAAGGUGUUAAUUAUUUUGUAGGUGCAAUUUUGUCCAAAAUCAAGGAGGAAGAAAUUUGCAUCCACAAAUUGGUGCUUUCAUUGAGAGUUGAGAUCCAUACUCGUAGAAGACUCUCGCAUAAAAAGGUUUUUCUCUAUUUUCAAGUCCAUUUGAAUAUUUUUCAUACGUCCUUAUUAUUAGAAUUUUUUAUUUGCAAAGGUUCUUUGAUAAAAUGUAUAUGAAAAAUAUAAUGGCUAGAAAUUUAAAAAAUUCCACAAGUGAAAAUUCUAAUACUCAAGAAAUUGGACCACGACGAUCCACGAGACUAAAUGUGGUCAUAGGCGAAGUGGUACCACCACUACGAGGUUCCACCAUGGCCCAAGCUGUGCCAUCCAAGUUUGCACGGGCCCAAGCCCAAGCCUCGCAUUCCCAUGCUUCACGUACUGAGCAGCCUACUUCCGUCGAGUAGCCCACUCUCGUGGCCCAGCCUGCUCCUGCCGAGCAACCUGCUAUCGCGGCCCAGCCUGCUCCUACAGAGCAACCUCCUCUCGUAACCCAGCCUGCUCCCAAGGUAUAAAAUAUCAAUGAUAUCGGAAAUAUCGGUAGUCCAAAAACACGGAAAUAUUGAUGAUAUUGGAAAUAUCGGUAGUCCAAAAACAUGGAAAUAUCGAUGGAAAUAUCGGGAUAUUAUCGAUAUUGAUAAAAAUUGAAUAAAAAUCACAGAAAUUGUAAGAAAAACUUGGAAAUUUUUAUUGAAACUUUGCAGGAUGUUUAUUUAGUCAAUUAUCUAUUAGUUUAUCACAAAAAAUUGGAAGGAAAUGCAUUGCAUGAUAGAUAUAACUGAUUUAAGUUGAUUAUAUAACGAGCUGGCAAACAUUGUGAGUGUAGAAAAUAUGUAUUAAUUAAUGAAAGAAGUUUAAACACACCAUAAUCAUUUAUAUAUAAUGAAUUAGUACAAAAUUUUACACUUUAUACAUUGCAUGGUAAGAUACAUGAGUGACUUAUCAAGGUAUAAAAUAUCGAUGAUAUCGAAAAUAUCGGUAGUCCAAAAACACGGAAAUUUCGAUGAAAAUAUCGGGAUAUUAUGGAUGUUUUAGACCAUGCCUGCUCCCGACGAGUAGCCCAUUCCCAUGGCCCAACCUACACUCGUCAAGCAACCCACUUUCGUGGCCCAGCCUGCUCUCGUGGUUUUCCAAGCAGCCCAAGUCGGCCCAAGACUAUCUCAACCAUCUGGACGUACCAUCGAGCCGGAUGCAUUCUCACCACAUUUUUUGCGGAUUUGACAGUUCCCAACUCAAAUCUCGCGCCCAGAGUCUACCACCCUUCCACUGCCCAAGGAGGCACAUUCCUUCCAAGCUCUUCCAAUCCAAAUGGUGAACAACACUUGUCUCGACAAGUCAUAGAGUUGACGAGCAUCCUUGCACAACAGACAACCUUGGCGAAUCAACUUUUGCAACGCAUUGGGAUCCAACGUGCCUUGAACGAGGUAUCCCAAAGUAAGACAAUGACAGACGAACCUUUCCAGCAGUGUCCCGGCAAGCAGCCACGAGCUGAGCGUUCAGGCAUUAUACAUUUCUGAUUGGGCCCCCGAGAUAGCGUAUAUUCCCUUCUUAGCGCGCGGAGGAGCGUGCACUCUCGACUAGGCCCACAAAUGAGCAUACAUUCACGGUUGGGGUCACACUCCGAUAGUCAACAUGAGCAACUUUCUAAGAAAAGUGUUCAUUCAUGUCUAAGCCCGCAAGGAGCAUCAUCCACCUCACAUCGGAGUAGGCAGCACGACGGACGGAGAGAAGCAAUCACCCAAUCUAGCUCAAGUUCAACCAGCAGUUUGUGAAGAACUCACUCGCCUGCUAGGAACGCACCACAUGCACUGCAUCCGCAGCAUAGACAAGCCAAACACAUGAAAGAGCAGCUAGACCAUCAAGUUAUGGCUGGGGGCAGCCGAGAGCUCCGCUACCCCAACAAAGGCAAUUGCAUGAUUUCCAACGCAACGAGGUCACCGACGAGGCACUACGACGGAACAUGACCAACCUAAGCAGGUCACCCUUCACGGACGAGAUUGAGCAGGAAGAGCCUCCACGCGAGUUCAGCAUGCCACAUUUCACAUCUUUCAAAGAGGAUGAAGACCUGGAAAGACACUUAAAGCAUUACCAAAGUGCAAUGAUCCUUUAUCGAAACAACGAUGCUCUCAUGUGCAAGAUAUUCGCCACCACUCUACAAGGCGAGGCGUAAGAUUUGUUUUACACCCUGCCGCCACAAUCUAUCUGGAAUUUCUAUGAACUUUCUUUGGUUUUCACCAAAGAAUAUUCAUCCUAUCGCUCGAUCAAAAAGAAGUCCGACUAUUUGUUUGACGUCAAGAAGAACCCAAAUGAGUCACUUCGUGACUAUGUGAGGAGAUUUAAAGCAGAUAAGGCAAGGAUAGUCGGAUGCAGCGACUCAAUAGCUAGUGCAGCCUUCCAAAAAGGCCUUCCAGUAGACCACCCACUAUUCGGAAAAUCGAUCAUGAAAGAAGAUCUAACUCUGGCAGACUCUUUUACUUUGGCAGAGAAACAUGCACUUUGGGACGAGGCUUGCCAAUGCACAUUCAAGGACUUGAAGAAGUACUCGACAUCACCUCCCUAAAAGCAGCGGAGGACUUAUUCGCUUGUUUGAUGGUAUCUAAAGUAGCAAUAAGCUCUACCAUCCUGCAAGAAGAGCUGGGGGCCCUACUACCUGUAUUCUACAGUUACCUGUAUUCUACAGUUCAAAAGCUCUCAUCAAUGCUAUUAAAAAUUCAAAAACUAACUUUGGCGAUAGUUGUUGUAACCCAAAAGCUUAAGUUUUACCUUUAAACGCACGCAGUCAUCAUCAUGAUGUACUAUUCCACCGAAUCCAAACCCGCGAUGAUGAAGGCGUAGACCCUGGCAAAUGCAAAGUUUUCUGACGAACGCAACAACUCGACCCAAAAGACACGCCAAGGGUAGACGAACACUAGAAGGAACACUCAGAAGCAAGUUUUGUCCUCGUCGUCCCAGAAGAUUGUACGUAAGAGCAACAUGUACUAGCAGUCGAGCACUACCUCCUGUUGUGCGUCACACGGCCCUAGUCGACCUUUGCUCCAUUAUUCAGCUCUAGAGUGGCCUAAUACCGGAAGUUGAGCAUCUCCUGCUACAUUAACAUGGCCCUAGCUCUACGGCUCCCUACCGCGCCUUCAAGCUUAGCCUUGACAGUGCAACAGAGCGGCCUAACAACGCCCUGAAGGCAGCCGAGCACACUUUAGCCACACCUACUCCCUCAAUGGAGAUUUCUGGCAUUUUCAUGUCGACGACACAUCCAACUACAAAGGCUCGUGAGCAACCGUGGUUCUUGCCACCCCAAAUGGUUUAAUGCUUAAGCAGGCGAUCACUCUAAGCUUCAAAGCACCUAACAACGAAGCAGAGUACGAAACCCCACUAGCAGGCAUUCGAGUGACAAAAGACUUGGUGGUGAAAAAGCUUUCAAUUCAUUCUGAUUCCUAGCUAAUCACCAGCCAGACUAUUAGGGGCAAAGGCAUGAUGAUCGUGGCAACCGACUACUUCACCAAAUAGGUAGAAGCAGAGCCCAUGACUAUCACAAUUCAGACGGACAUAGAGCGCUUCAUAUGAAGGAGCAUCAUUUACCAAUUUGGAAUCCUUUAAUCCAUCAUCACCAACAACGGCCCGCAAUUUGUGGGAAAAGAUUUGGCGAAGUUCUUCCAAAAAUAUGGCAUCAAGCAGCACAUGUCUAUGCCAAGAUAUCCUCAAGGCAAUAGGAGGGCCAAAACAUCCACUAAGAUGAUCCUUGACUGCCACAAGAAAUCCCCCACCAAUAAGAAAUGAAAAUGGCCAGACGAACUCCCUAGAUGUCUAUGGGACAUCGCACAACCAAAAGACAAGCAAUCGAAAUGAGAUGGUCACAAGCUUAAAUCUGGCAGAGGAGAAGUGCGAGCAGACUAUCACCCGCAUCGUAGCUUACCAGCAGCAGUUCAUUUCCAGCCAUAACAAAAGGGCCAAGAUCCGACAGUUUCAGCCUAGAGAUCUAGUCCUAAGAAAAGCCUUCAUCACUGCCAGCAGAGAAGGCUCCAAAAAGAUGAAUCUCAUAUGGGAAGGUCUAUAUAAGAUUAGCAGAGUAGGCAGCAAGAGUAAUUACACAACAAAAAAAGAUCUAAAAGCAGUAAAGCACCUACAAUAUGAAGAGGUGCCAUGUGUGACCUCCCACUACAUCAAAGCCCGAAGACUCAAGAAGCUCGAUGGGCACCACCACACAAGUUGAGGAUUAUCCAGUUGUUAUGCAGUUCCUACCUUACAGCUAAGUUCUCAUUCGUUUCACUCGUUUUUCAAUGAGGAAUUUAGAAGUAAUCACAACUUGACUCGGCUGUAUGCUUACAACAACUAAUCAUUCCUGCACUUCAAAAGAAGACUGCGCCCUUCUUAGGGACUUAUUGCAGGAAUUGCGCCCCCCGAGGGACCAACCAUGCUCUUCAGUGCGAGAGGGUAAACCAAUUUCCCGACACCUAUAUGGGUCAGCCCUCCAAGACGGGAAGAUAAACUUUACACUCCGAAUAUCCAGACGUGGAUGAGCCUGGCUGCCCUAGUAUAACUAGAUGUACGAUGGCUUGCGCCGAGAUUCUUAGAAGUAGUCACAAUGGUAUUUGUCAAGGCUUAGCUAACUGAAGGAUUUUGGGUCUCUUGGCCUAAUCUAUGGGGAACCGGGCCCUAGAGACGGAAAGGGCACAUUACGCAGUACACCCUACAGACGGCUGCAUUACGUAGUACGCCCUACAGACGGCUGCCCUGGAACCCUAAAGCUGCUACCGAGUGCACUAAGGUAGCCUACGGAUUCCGGAAGACUGCCUACGGCUUGCCCUUCGAGCAGUAAAGCCGCGUUAGACUUAUAAAACCGCAUAUUCUUGUGAAAGGUUAAACAAGCUAGCGAGCAUAUACGAAGUUUUAUCCAGUGCCGACAUGCUACGUAGUCGAUAAGCUUCACCUCUGCAAAGCGCGGAACAACCUACACCAAGUCCUAAAGUGUUGUGAUACUUGUUACGCAACCUAAGGAAUUGGAAAAAUUCAAGGUUAACAGCCUAGUGGUUACGCGGAAUUGUUUGCUUCUGUAAGUAAGGCAUCCGACUGCCAACCCAAUAGCUAACAACUUUGCAAAGUUCUACACCAACACCUACGGCUGCAUAGGCUACGCGAGCUUGUCUUCUUAUAAAAAAAGUAGCAUGCCUGCCACUGGUCUAUCAAGUCUAAAGGUUAGGGCAUGAACAAAAGAAGUGAAGAUGAAGAAAAGAGAAGGAAAACAUGUUUAUAAACAAAUAGCAAAGGCCGAAAAAGUUCAAGCAAAACAAGAGCUACAAGGAAAAACAAAGAAAAUCCUAAAGGCUACCUAAAAUACUACACUACAGUAGCUUGGACAUCCCACAACUACUCGGUCGCCACACCUUCAGCAGCCGUAACCCUCUUAGCAGCGGCAUCAUCUGGCACUUCACCCCGGCUGCCCAAGCCUGGGAACUAACAUCUCCAACUACUUCACCAAUGGAAGCCUCAAAAGUAAAAGUAAGCAAGUCUUCCGAAGAAAUAGAGAAACCUUAAGCACAUCCUUCUCAGCCUUCAGUUGCUCAUUCUUCUCAAGCAGACUAACACGGACGCGCUGCAGCUCAUCCACUCCCUUCAAAGCAACAAGAUCAUAAUCCAACCUCUUGAUCUCCUCGGCUGAGGAAUAAGCUACAGCUGUCAUAAUCUUCGCCACCUCCUUGACAGCCUUGCUAUAUAUGCAUCAUAGCAAGCAAAACAGUCCUUCUAUAUUGGGUCGUAUGUUUCGCAAAGGAACUUGGGCAAACAACCUUUCUACCACCAUUAUCAAACUUGGCACAAGCGUCCAUGUCUUCAAGCAGAUCUAGUUUCAAAAGCACAAUGAUCUCAGCAGCCUCCCCAGAAGCAGGCUUAGUGGAUUUUUCACAGCUGCCCACACAAACAGUAUCUUCUUUCCUAGCAGGCGAAUCAGUCUCAGCAGCAAAGGGAGUGGGCCUUGGCUCCACUUUAGCAGCAAAGUCCACCUUACCACUCUUCAUAAUAGCAAGUCUAUCCAAAGGUGAACCAGACUUGGCUCCAAACAAACGUCCUGGUACAGACUUUGACACUAGAGGCAUGAUAAAACCUUUACGCUGAGCAAUCUUAUCAACAAUUGUACUAACUCAACAUGGAAUGAGCCAUAUGCUCAGAUCUAGCAACCUCAUUUUUCUUCCCAUUAGAAGAAGUCAUGUCAAUCACAGGCCUCUCGACAGCAGACAGAUUAUCAUGAGCAGCAGUGGAGAAAGUCUUCAAUUUUUCUCGAUCGGCAUCUCUUGAGUAGGUGGGGAAGAUCUCUUCUUUCCAUCUUCAUUCAUAGUAGGCUCCACGACAACGAUUAGACGAGCCAAUGCAUCCGCCAUGAUCUUCUUAAUCUUCUUUACCUCUUCUUUUGGGAGCAGCCCACUUUUCUCUCGGUAAAAAGAACUAAGCAGUCAACGCCAUUCACGGUACUCAGCAGAGGAGCUUAACCCAACAUUCUAGUAGGCAGGAGGUAUGCAUGCCCAUCAUUCCAGCAACCCAUGAGGCCCACGACCUCCUCAUUUCUUUCAGUCCCUAGCCUAGCUCGAGUAAGGUCCAAGAGCCCAAAGGACAUGAGUCAUGUGACACGCCUAGCAUUGCUCCCUAACGCCACAAUCCGUAGCCCCAGCCGCAUAAGCUGCCAUUGGCUCUAGCCAAGCCAAACAACCCAACCAGUGGCCUCUACCAUAAUGCCUCAUCGGCCGAUGCCGAGCCGACUCCUAGCCCCUGCCAUCCGACGUGCUGCACCACCCCGACGGCUGCCUCGCAAUAGCACUAUCCAAGAAGAAGACAAGAAAAAAAUUAAAUUUUUCUUACAUCGGUGCAGCACAGAGAAGACGAAGAAAUCAACGAAAGACGGUCAUUUGCACGGGCAAGAUGUAGAAGAUUGCUAGAGGAGGGGGAACAAAUAUUCUCUAAGCUCUCUCUCUCUUGUAGGGUAUAAUAAAUCGCUCUCCAACGUUGAUUUAAUAACCCACUUAAGGUGGACUUAAAUAGGCUUUAAGAGAAAUUUAUUUCCCUUUCCUAGAAUGACCUAAUUUCCUAUUAAAGAGAGAAUCUACAUCAAAAUAGGAAGCAGUCCUACGUUUCCUAAAGCAAGAUGAUCUCUACACCUGCUGCCCUUUUCUACGAGCAGCCCAAUAGGUGUGGGGGCAUUUGUGGAGCCAAAAAUAUUCAUAAGGCGACACCUGGAUUUUUGGAUAAAAGAGGACAACAAUACCCUUGAGGCAUACCGGGAUUCUUACGUACGAGCAAUGAUUUUUAUUUGCUAAAUGACCCAUUAUGCUAAUUAAUCCUUUAACUCACCAAUUAAAUGACCCAUUAUGCCAAUUAACUAGCUAAUUAAUUUGUACCCAUAUAUUCACCUAUUUUAUCACAUUAAUUAGCUAGUUAAUUUGGCAAUGAUUUUAUUUGCUAAAUUAAUUUGUCAAUUAUUCCCAUAACUCCUAAAUUCAACCUAAAUCAAUAACCUAUCCCUAUAAAUAGGCUCUCAUUCUCACCAAAAACCUAGGUCCUCACUCUUGCUAAAAUUCUCCAAAGCUCUCAAACACUUUUCUCUCAAAACUCUAACUUUGGCAUCGGAGGUUCUUCAGCCAAAGCCCCCCCCCCAUUCAUUGUGGGCGCGUGAGGCUCUUGGCCUUGACCUAAGGUGUUAAUUGUUUUGUAGGUGCAAUUUUGUCCAAGAUCAAGGAGGAAGAAAUUUGCAUCCACACACAUACUUAUUAACGUAUUUUAAAAAAUAACUACUGAUAUAUUUUAAAACAUAAAAUAAAUACAUAUAAUUAGCAUGGGUACAUUUAGUACAAUUAAAAAUGGGUAUAAAUAAAUUUAAAAAUAUGGGUAUAAAUACAUAUAAAACUUUAAAAAACAUAUGGGCACAAAAAGAAAUUAAUAUAUGGGUACAAAUUAAAAUUGAAAAGAAAAUUGGUGCAAAUUAAAAAAGGGUUGCAAAUUAAAAAUGGGUACAAAUUAAAAAAAAAACUUUAUUAUUGAAACAAUUAAUGACGUUUAUUAAAACUUAAGAACCUUGAUAAAAAAUUGAAAAAGAAUAAGGUUUUUGUUGUGACAUAUGUUCUUAUCAAUAUGUGAUUG